rnacentral:lncRNA from 1 species
AUAAUAAUAAAUACUUUCAAAACCUUUAUAUCAUAAAUGGAUUUAUUGUCCAUAACUGUUUCGCAAACUUUCAAUAAUUCACAUUCAUGGUAUUUAUUCAAAAUUAAUAAAUGGACGAAUUAUAUACUUUUAUUUAGAAUUAACAAUUAAUUAAUCUAUGCUUUUUUUUAAAAUGCAUUUUACACACUCUUAACUUACCACACCCCAUUUAUAGACACGAGUCAAUAACUCUCACCUUGCUCCUUAGCUGACUCAUAAUUAAUGCAUUUUAUACCGCUGGUCAUCCUAAUGGUCCUAAUUUGAGUAGCAUAUAGGUAAGAUUGGAUUGUAUUUAGGGAGUGUUUGACAGUUGGCACCUCUCAUUACAUAGGGUUGCAUUGCUGACUCGGGUUUAGCUACCUUUUUUUUU